AGCGGGAUAACCUGCCGAAAGGCAGACUAAUACCGCAUGUUCUUCGAUGACGGCAUCAGAUUCGAAGCAAUGAUUUAUCGGUAACGGAGGGGGAUGCGUCUGAUUAGCUUGUUGGCGGGGCGACGGCCCACCAAGGCGACGAUCAGUAGGGGUUCUGAGAGGAAGGUCCCCCACAUUGGAACUGAGACACGGUCCAAACUCCUACGGGAGGCAGCAGUGAGGAAUAUUGGUCAAUGGGCGGAAGCCUGAACCAGCCAAGUAGCGUGCAGGAGGACGGCCCUAUGGGUUGUAAACUGCUUUUAUGCGGGGAUAAAGUGAGGGACGUGUCCCUUUUUGCAGGUACCGCAUGAAUAAGGACCGGCUAAUUCCGUGCCAGCAGCCGCGGUAAUACGGAAGGUCCGGGCGUUAUCCGGAUUUAUUGGGUUUAAAGGGAGCGUAGGCCGGGGAUUAAGUGUGUUGUGAAAUGUAGGCGCCCAACGUCUGACUUGCAGCGCAUACUGGUUCCCUUGAGUACGCGCAACGCCGGCGGAAUUCGUCGUGUAGCGGUGAAAUGCUUAGAUAUGACGAAGAACCCCGAUUGCGAAGGCAGCCGGCGGGAGCGCAACUGACGCUGAAGCUCGAAGGUGCGGGUAUCGAACAGGAUUAGAUACCCUGGUAGUCCGCACGGUAAACGAUGGAUGCCCGCUGUCGGCGCCUUGCGCCGGCGGCCAAGCGAAAGCGUUAAGCAUCCCACCUGGGGAGUACGCCGGCAACGGUGAAACUCAAAGGAAUUGACGGGGGCCCGCACAAGCGGAGGAACAUGUGGUUUAAUUCGAUGAUACGCGAGGAACCUUACCCGGGGUUGAAUUGCAGGAGAACGAUACAGAGAUGUUGAGGUCCUUCGGGACUCCUGCGAAGGUGCUGCAUGGUUCUCGUCAGCUCGUGCCGUGAGGUGUCGGCUCAAGUGCCAUAACGAGCGCAACCCCUCUCCC
rnacentral:rRNA from 1 species